rnacentral:rRNA from 1 species
AUAUUCCACAAUGGGCGAAAGCCUGAUGGAGCGACGCCGCGUGAGGGAAGAAGCCUUUCAGGGUGUAAACCUCUUUUUUGGAGGAUGACACGCUCUUUCCCCUUUCCUUCUUCGGAAGGAGAGCAAGGAAAGAGCUAAGACAGUACUCCAAGAAUAAGCCUCGGCUAACUACGUGCCAGCAGCCGCGGUAAUACGUAGGAGGCGAGCGUUGUCCGGAUUUACUGGGCGUAAAGGGCGCGCAGGCGGCACCCUAAGUAAGAUGUGAAAUCUCCCUGCUCAACGGGGAGGGUGCAUCUUAGACUGGGGAGCUAGAGGACGGUAGAGGGGGGUAGAAUUGCUGGUGUAGCGGUGAAAUGCGUAGAGAUCAGCAGGAAUACCCGUGGCGAAGGCGGCCCCCUGGGCCGAACCUGACGCUGAGGCGCGAAGGCUAGGGGAGCGAAC